UCCUUUAGACCAGCAAUAACAUAAGGCAAUUACGUGUUCCAUGUUUUCCAUCAUGCCACAAAGUUAUAAAUAAAUAAAUCGACAGUAUACCUUAGAGAUACCUUGACUAUCAGAACCCCAGGUGUUGAGGUGGUCGAGGUUUUCAAGGUGGCGUUUCUCAUAAAGAGAUCCACGCAUGGCCAUCAAACUGCCAGAGUUGAAGGCACGCCCAGCAGCUUGCACACUAUCACCAGGUGAAGGUGUUGCC
rnacentral:lncRNA from 1 species